rnacentral:lncRNA from 1 species
CACAGAGCAUUCUUCUAGUAAUCACUUUGAAAAUGAACUCUAAAUUUUCGCGUCCAAGUUUUGCUAUUUCAUGGAAUCUACCUUUUACCGAUGAAGAUACAAGAUUGAACUAAACAGAAUGACACAGGAAGAAGAGAAGAGGCGAAAAUGAUACACUAAAAAGAAAAAAAAUGAAAGACAAUAAUAAUUUUGUAUAAAUGUUCUACUAACAUUUACAUUAUAUACACAUCUAACAUAGGAUAGCAAACAUUCAGCAGGGGAACAUCGAAACUGGCUAUUUCUCGCCUACAGAUUUAGCUCUCGUGUGGCAUGAGGUUGGCGUGCUGCCGAAAAUCCAUCACUACGUCUGUGGAGUGAUUCCUGUAGAGAAAUAGGACGGAAUUUGCUGGUAAUUUUAGGAAGACCUCACGUUACCUUGGUUACGUCCCAGAUAUUUGGGCAAGGAUUACGUUAUUUCCAGCAGUUGGCAAAAGAUUUUCAGAAACAAAUUUCUUGCAUCAACUCUGUUUUUGAUUCUAUUUCCUUCUUUCUUCUCCUGUCCCUUCUGUCUUUAUGACUUUUUUCCACACCAAAAUACAUCUGGAGUAAAAGACCUAAAUUAAUUUAUAUUUAAAUUAAAUUAAGUGAAUUUUAGAUUUUCCUAUAUUUUUGUUGGACAGAUCACAUAUAUUUGUUUGCUUUUUAUUCAUUUCAUUGAAAGAAAAUUUGUAUCAAGCUAUAGCAGCUAGCUUCUUUGCUAUAUUUGUUCAUUGCUUUUAGGGUCUAUCCAUGCAUUUUAAAUUUUCCCAAUUCUCAUCCUUUGCAAUUAAUAUAAUUUUUGAAAUAUAAAACGUAUUUUAAAUCUUACUUGGCAAUCAUUUUUAAAGCCCUUUCAACCAAAUAGUUAUCUUUGUUCAUAUACUGUAUGAUAUUUGUAUGUUUCAAAGUCUAAAUCAUGUUCUUCAAAGCUGAUAAUUUCACUGUAUAUUUCGUAUACAGUGUAGCCUCUUUGACUCUCUUAAUGGGAGGUCUAAUAGUGUAUGUGUUUUUCUGGCAUUUUUGGACGACACGUUGUGAAGAUUUAAAACCAAAGAAGCUAUAGCUUCUGUAAUUCAAAUAACGACAAAGUUAUUUUUUUCUUAAAAAUAUUCUUCAACGGGAACAAAACAGGUGAUUCUAUGAUGAAAAGAAAGAAGAAAAGAACAACGAAAAUACUAAAAAAAUUAAAACCAGCGUUUUUGAGCUUUAGGUAGAUGUUUCUCAGUCAACUCAGAAUAAUGUUCGACAAUUUUGUUCUAGAAUUCGAUCUCGCAUCGAUUUAUUUUUAUAUUUUUCUUGGGGCAUUUUAUACCAUGAAAACUCAGAGUGAUAUUAAAGAAAUAUCUAUAAACAAUUUUAACCGUUAUUUAGAAAGCUUAAAGCUGGUUAAAUUGAAGAAAUGGCAAACUAGUGUCCAAGAAUAAACGUUUCGUAUCUUGCAACCAAUAAGAUACAAUUAGUUCAGUUCUUUUACGAAUUGUGACAAUGGAUUAUACAGCCAAUGUUCCAAGAUUGGCACUGCACUUUUGUUGUAAGCAGCG